AGAGUUUGAUCCUGGCUCAGAGCGAACGCUGGCGGCAGGCUUAACACAUGCAAGUCGAGCGGGCGUAGCAAUACGUCAGCGGCAGACGGGUGAGUAACGCGUGGGAACAUACCUUUUGGUUCGGAACAACACAGGGAAACUUGUGCUAAUACCGGAUAAGCCCUUACGGGGAAAGAUUUAUCGCCGAAAGAUUGGCCCGCGUCUGAUUAGCUAGUUGGUGAGGUAACGGCUCACCAAGGCGACGAUCAGUAGCUGGUCUGAGAGGAUGAUCAGCCACAUUGGGACUGAGACACGGCCCAAACUCCUACGGGAGGCAGCAGUGGGGAAUAUUGGACAAUGGGCGCAAGCCUGAUCCAGCCAUGCCGCGUGAGUGAUGAAGGCCCUAGGGUUGUAAAGCUCUUUUGUGCGGGAAGAUAAUGACGGUACCGCAAGAAUAAGCCCCGGCUAACUUCGUGCCAGCAGCCGCGGUAAUACGAAGGGGGCUAGCGUUGCUCGGAAUCACUGGGCGUAAAGGGUGCGUAGGCGGGUCUUUAAGUCAGGGGUGAAAUCCUGGAGCUCAACUCCAGAACUGCCUUUGAUACUGAGGAUCUUGAGUUCGGGAGAGGUGAGUGGAACUGCGAGUGUAGAGGUGAAAUUCGUAGAUAUUCACAAGAACACCAGUGGCGAAGGCGGCUCACUGGCCCGAUACUGACGCUGAGGCACGAAAGCGUGGGGAGCAAACAGGAUUAGAUACCCUGGUAGUCCACGCUGUAAACGAUGAAUGCCAGCCGUUAGUGGGUUUACUCACUAGUGGCGCAGCUAACGCUUUAAGCAUUCCGCCUGGGGAGUACGGUCGCAAGAUUAAAACUCAAAGGAAUUGACGG
rnacentral:rRNA from 1 species